GGUUUAUAAGGUGCCAUCAUAACCCAUCAUCAGAGGCCUCAAAAUGAGCCUCGAUUCAUUUUAUUAUUUCCUGUUAAGGGAAACCUGAAGUCUUCCUGUGCCAAGAGGACAUGACAAGUCCCUCCCAUCUGAGGGUGUUCCUGGCCUCUAUUAAGGUCUGAAAGAUGACCCGAAAUUCCUGGAGCCCCUCCCAUUGAUGUCAAAUUAUAAAUAAAAUGUUGCUCUUUUUUUUUUUUUUUCCAGGAAAAAACUGCCUAUUUCACCUUCCUUGGCAGUGGAAUAAGUGGAUCAAAAACAGCGACUGCUGAUGAAAACUCAACUUCCAAAUACAUUCCACAGCUUAUUUGCAGAGGGAAAUGUUCUUUACCUUUUGAACUUUCAGAUAGCUGGUGAAAGCAAAUGGGCCUGUGAAACUGCUUCCUUUAAUCCAGCAGAUAGAUGCCUGUGGUUUCAGAGCCCGGGAUGUUCCAUUUUGAGUGCCACAUGCGUGUGGUUAGCUAAUGACCGGGUGUCUACUGAGGUUUGCGACCAGGGAUUGUUGCAAAGCUCUACCUGACUCUUUUCUUCUCCUGGAGAAGGUAUUUCCCGACCAUACAGAAAUUGUUUCAAAGCGCAUUGACUUGUGACCAGAUUCUUUUCAGUCUUCUUAUUCCUGAAUAUUUCAGCAAUGGACAUAUGGGUCACCUCCUCUGUAUUGUGACCUUCUCUUCUCUGAAGUCUCAUUAUUCUUUUUGGUCUCUGGAAUAUUAUGUGGGAAUAAAUAGGGAAAAGGAAACCAAACUUGCUUUUAUUCUCUUAUCCAUACUUUUCACCUGCGUGUUCCACCUUUAUCUGUGUA
rnacentral:lncRNA from 1 species